UACGUAGGGUGCGAGCGUUAAUCGGAAUUACUGGGCGUAAAGUGUGCGCAGGCGGCGCUGCAAGUCGAGUGUGAAAUCCCCGAGCUUAACUUGGGAACUGCGCUCGAAACUACUUGGCUAGAGUGUGGCAGAGGGAGGUGGAAUUCCACGUGUAGCGGUGAAAUGCGUAGAGAUGUGGAGGAACACCGAUGGCGAAGGCAGCCUCCUGGGCCAACACUGACGCUCAUGCACGAAAGCGUGGGAGCAAACAGG
rnacentral:rRNA from 1 species